CACGUAGGAGACGAGCGUUAUCCGGAUUUACUGGGUGUAAAGCGCGUGCAGGCGGUCUGGUAAGUUGGAUGUGAAAGCUCCUGGCUUAACUGGGAGAGGUCGUUCAAUACUGCUGGACUAGAGGAUGGCAGAGGGGAGUGGAAUUCCGAGUGUAGCGGUAAAAUGCAUAGAUAUUCGGAAGAACACCAGUGGCGAAGGCGGCUCUCUGGGCCAUUUCUGACGCUCAGACGCGAAAGCUAGGGUAGCAAACGGG
rnacentral:rRNA from 1 species